CUUUUUAUUCUUCUUCUUUCCUCUCUUCUUCCUUCUUCGUUUCUGUACCCGACGAGGCAGAGAGAAAAAGAGAGUGAGACUGAGAGAGAGAUCAGAGAGAACUGAGAGAUCGGGAGAGAUAGAAAGAGAGACCGAGAUGCAGAGAGGGAGAGAUGGGAGUCGGGAGUAGCGUCGUUCGGAGCCGGGGCCAGAGCUGGAGAACCGGGGAAGAUCCAACCAACCAUGGUGGGUCGAAGCAGAGGACGCCGGGGAUGCUAUUUCCGGUGGGCCAGGUGGUGUUCCGGCCGGACCCCGUGACCCGUGAGCCCAGAGAACCCGAGAGACCCGAGAACCCGUGACCCGUGAAGUGCAAAACCUGAACGACCCAACUGAAUCGAAGAAGACCCGAUCGACGGAGGUCACCGCCAGUGAUUUCUGGUAACUUGGGAAGCUGAAUUCCGGCGAGCUCUGGUGUUUUCCGGCCUAACCCAUAACCCCGAACCCAUCAAGGCCGUGACCCAUAACCCAGAAUCCGUGACCCGUGUGUAUGUGUGUGCGACCCAUAUCGAACCCGAGAGAGAGAUCCGGUGGCUCCCAGUGGCGAUUUCUGGCGGUUCCGAUGGCGAUUCCGGCGAACCCGUGACCCGUUGACCCGAGACCCGGUGGAUUGAAGGCUAAAUUCCGGCUUAAUCUAGGAGAAUUUCCGGUUGUCUCCCUUAGCCUAAAACAGAAACUCUCAGAGGGGUAAAAGCUCGAUCUCGAUGCUAAUGGAAAGUCCAGAUGACCCAGUGAGACAAUAAUAAUUCUUGAUAUUGGCGCAGACCUCGCUAAGAGCCAUAGAUCAUUGUGGGCUGACUAGAUGUUUACUUUGUAUAGUAAGUUUUUCGGAGUUUCAAGGCGUUGUAAAGAAUUAUUAAAAGCUAGAAUUUAUUAAAUAGAUAUAAUAAGUUUCAGUCUAUAUAUAUAUGUUUUAAAUGCGCGCUUCCAUUUA